rnacentral:rRNA from 1 species
UGGCGGACGGGCGAGUAACGCGUGAGCAACCUGCCCUAUGCAGGGGGAUAACACCGGGAAACUGGUGCUAAUACCGCAUAAGACCACACUGGCACAUGUCAGAGUGGUAAAAGCUCCGGCGGCAUAGGAUGGGCCCGCGUCCAAUUAGCUUGUUGGUAGGGUAACGGCCUACCAAGGCGACGAUUGGUAGCCGAACUGAGAGGUUGGUCGGCCGCAUUGGGACUGAGACACGGCCCAGACUCCUACGGGAGGCAGCAGUGGGGAAUAUUGCGCAAUGGGGGAAACCCUGACGCAGCGACGCCGCGUGAAGGAAGAAGGCCUUCGGGUUGUAAACUUCUUUGGUCGGGGACGAAGAUGACGGUACCCGAAUAACAAGCCACGGCUAACUACGUGCCAGCAGCCGCGGUAAUACGUAGGUGGCGAGCGUUGUCCGGAAUUACUGGGUGUA